rnacentral:rRNA from 1 species
UACGUAGGGGGCAAGCGUUGUCCGGAUUUAUUGGGCGUAAAGAGCGUGUAGGCGGCCUGGUAGGUCAGCUGUGAAAACUCGAGGCUCAACCUCGAGACGUCGGUUGAAACCACCAGGCUAGAGUCCGGAAGAGGAGAGUGGAAUUCCCGGUGUAGCGGUGAAAUGCGCAGAUAUCGGGAAGAACACCCGUGGCGAAGGCGGCUCUCUGGGACGGUACUGACGCUGAGACGCGAAAGCGUGGGGAGCGAACAGG